GUUCUUAUGUUCGGCUCGUUGCUAUGGAAACAGGCACGAAUGUGUCAGUGGCUUACGAUUGGCUAAAAUUACCCAAAAUUUUCAAUCUUUAAUUGAUAAUAAUUCUUUAUUUAUUAAUUUAUAGCGAAAAUGAUUUUCAUGGCAUUGAUUAGCCCACAAAAGUGUAUCAUUACACUGAAUAUGAAAUUAAUUCGACCAGAAAUUGAAAUUGGUAGCCAAACGGAAGAGAUCCCAAGUUUCUGAU